UGCCGCGUAGCAUAGCAGUAAUGCGCCCGACUGUUAAUCGGGAGCAUGCAAGUGCGAGUCUUGCCGCGGCAGCCA
rnacentral:tRNA from 1 species